rnacentral:lncRNA from 1 species
GUAGUUCAACGACUUACCCUAAACUUUGUUACGAAUCUCUCUUAACACAGGCUAGCAUGAUCCAAACAAGCCCCCAACUCAUCGCCCAUGCAGCCCUAAACGUGACCCUUUCAACCGCCAAGUCAACCUCGGCCAUGAUGGUGAAGCUUGCCAAAAGCCAAGGAUUGAAGCCUACAGAGGUGGGCGCCAUGCAAGAUUGCGUGGAGGAAUUGGAGGACACGAUAGAUGAGCUGAGAAAGUCAAUCAGCGAGAUGGGUCAGAUUAAAGGCUCCAAUUUUGGACUAAUGAUUAACGAUAUACAGACAUGGGUUAGCGCUGCUUUGACGGAUGAGAACACCUGCGCCGACGGGUUUGGAGGGAAAAACAUGAACGGCAGUAUAAAGACUGCUGUGAGAUCCAAGAUUGUCACAAUCGCUCAUUUGACAAGUAAUGCCUUGGCUUUGGUCAACAGCUAUGCUUCAUUUCAUGGUUAGCUAUUUAAUCAACUGUACAGGGGAAAUUUAGUCAUUAUUUACGGUAGCAAUUGUAUUUAUGGAUUUUUAGAAACUACUUCUGUUUUCCUGGUAAAUGUAAAAUAUAUAUGUGGUCCAAAGAAGGGAAUGGAGAUGUGUGUGUGUGUGUGUGUGAUCUUGGUGUCUUAAUGAAAAUGAACGGAGUGAUCUAUAUUAUGUGCACACGUUGUAUCUGUACAAUAAAUUGCUUUUUGUGAAC